CGCUGGCGGCAUGCUUUACACAUGCAAGUCGAACGGCAGCGCGGGGGCAACCCUGGCGGCGAGUGGCGAACGGGUGAGUAAUAUAUCGGAACAUAUCCGGAAGUGGGGGAUAACGUACCGAAAAGUACGCUAAUACCGCAUAUGCCCUGAGGGGGAAAGGGGGGGAUCGCAAGACCUCUCGCUUUCGGAGUGGCCGAUAUCGGAUUAGCUAGUUGGUGAGGUAAAGGCUCACCAAGGCGACGAUCCGUAGCGGGUCUGAGAGGACGACCCGCCACACUGGAACUGAGACACGGUCCAGACUCCUACGGGAGGCAGCAGUGGGGAAUUUUGGACAAUGGGGGCAACCCUGAUCCAGCCAUGCCGCGUGAGUGAAGAAGGCCUUCGGGUUGUAAAGCUCUUUCAGCCGGAAAGAAACGGUCACGGGUAAUAUCCGUGACUAAUGACGGUACCGGCAGAAGAAGCACCGGCUAACUACGUGCCAGCAGCCGCGGUAAUACGUAGGGUGCGAGCGUUAAUCGGAAUUACUGGGCGUAAAGCGUGCGCAGGCGGUUUGGUAAGACAGACGUGAAAUCCCCGGGCUUAACCUGGGAACUGCGUUUGUGACUGCCAGACUAGAGUGCGGCAGAGGGGGGUAGAAUUCCACGUGUAGCAGUGAAAUGCGUAGAUAUGUGGAGGAAUACCGAUGGCGAAGGCAGCCCCCUGGGUCGACACUGACGCUCAUGCACGAAAGCGUGGGGAGCAAACAGGAUUAGAUACCCUGGUAGUCCACGCCCUAAACGAUGUCAACUAGGUGUUGGGGAAGGAGACUUCUUUAGUACCGCAGCUAACG
rnacentral:rRNA from 1 species